rnacentral:rRNA from 1 species
UACGAAGGGGGCUAGCGUUGCUCGGAAUCACUGGGCGUAAAGGGUGCGUAGGCGGGUCUUUAAGUCAGGGGUGAAAUCCUGGAGCUCAACUCCAUAACUGCCUUUGAUACUGAGGAUCUUGAGUUCGGGAGAGGUGAGUGGAACUGCGAGUGUAGAGGUGAAAUUCGUAGAUAUUCGCAAGAACACCGGUGGCGAAGGCGGCUCACUGGCUCGUAACUGACGCUCAUGCACGACAGCGUGGGGAUCAAACAGG